rnacentral:lncRNA from 1 species
CUUUAAUGGUCCUCUCUUUAUUCAGUAUGUCAGGCUUUUGUAGAAAUCUGUGACACAGCAGAACCAUUGAAUGUGGGUUUUGGUUGUAGGGCUUUUUGUUUCCAGUUGCCUCUCUUUAAUAUCUUGUUGGUCUUAGACACAUAUUUGAGUGAAGAUGAUGCGACUCUGGUGUGUGAAAAGCACUCCACCUCUUGUGAGCAUCCUGAAAUCUGAAUAAUAACUUCUUGUAAUCACUUGGGAUAUAACCAUACUUUUUGAUGAUGUUUGUGCAGCAGUCUGUCAACAGGAAUGUAAGAAUGGUGGGGAGUGUAUUGGACCGAGUACCUGUCAUUGUCCUCCAGAGUGGGAAGGAUUCCAGUGUCAAACACCUGUGUGCAACCAGAAGUGUCUGUUUGGAGGGAAAUGCGUGUUGCCCAACGUGUGCUCUUGUCGUCCAGGUUAUACUGGAGUCCUCUGUGGGAGGAAAAUUCAGGUACAAAGACAUCAUGGUUGAAGAAGUGUGGCAAUUCAAUUGCAAUGCAGCAUGGAUGUAUGAGACUUGAAAAUAGCAAAAGGGUUGGAGGCAAUUACAGAGUCAUUUAAAUGAAAGGAAUAUUCAGGAGCCUUAUUUUGAAAGAUUCAUAUUAGUCAGAAAUGUUGGUGAGCUUCAAAACAACAAUCUUAUAGUCAUUAAAACAUAUGUAUAUGCCUAUAAUUUUUUGCUACCUCAUGUAGAAACCCCACAGCCUCUGAUAUUUUCACUGAAUUCCCAGAUCAGAUGACUAAGCCUAAAAUUCUCCGGUUUAUUCAACUGGACUUUGAAAUUUCUGUUGAGGGAACAAGACUGUAGCAGCUGUUGGGUGACUCUAGCAAGGAAGACAGCACUUCUGCACUUGUGACUGGUAGCUCCUGUUUACAAACACUGUUUACAUACAUAUUAUUUGGCUGUGGACAGAAGAAAAUGCAGAACUUGUUUUUCUUGUUUUGUAUUUAUACCGGUGUUGUUGUAAUGAUAAGCCAGUAGCAAGGAAGGAGGGGAAACCAGAACUGAGGCUGGGCUACCAAUGAAGGCAAGGCCUCCUGUCCUGUUACCAGUCAGCCAGGUGCAGAAUGACUGAUUUAUCUGUGACAAGCCUUUGCAGCCAGGAGCCAGAUACCAACUUUUCUGUUUUUACUUUAUUACUUACAGUCAUAAAGAGCCAGCUACUGAAUUAUUCCUGAGUCUGUAAGAUUUUAAUGCUCCUGUCUGAGAUGGCCCUCAGUAAUAUCAGGAAAUUUUGUUCCCAAUACUCUUAGAGAAAUUUAACAAUGCUUUGAGCAAUGCUGAAUCUUAAAAUAGGAAUAAGAAGAAAAAUUUGUUGUACAUCAUGCCAUCCAUACUCAUCAUGUCAGAAAGUAUUUGUAAAGACUUCACAGAGGAUUUUUUUCUAUUACCAAAAUUACCAAUUGCUCCAGUGAACUGUUAGCACCUGCCAGCUGCCAGAUAGUUUUUGAAAAAAUAAAAUUUCAGUUUUUUUCUGAAGCUUCCUACA